AAGAGUACGUGAAACCGUUCAGGGGUAAACCUGUGAAACCCAAAAGAUCGAAUGGGGAGAUUCAUCGUCAGCGUUUUUAGUAUUAAUGCAAGCUAUGAUGUGAUAAUAGAAUCUUUGUGGUCACUAAUUUAUACUUGCUUGUAUUAUUUUUGUUAAAUUUGUGGGGGUGCACUUCUCCUCUAGUAGAACGUCGCAACCUGUUAGAUGUUUAUUUAUGGCUCAACUGGUAGCCUUUAGUAUUUAAUUAUACUGAAGACCAUUGGUGUCCUGAUAAACUGUUUGACAGUAUACAUAUGGUAUUGAGCCGCAAUUAUUUGCGUUAGACUUACCGCAAGUAUGAUUUUUUUCUGGUAAUGCGGAUUUAAUGCCGUCACUGGAAAAAAUCUGCUGUUAGCUGUAUAAUGUCUUUAACUGGCUUAUUUACCGGUUAGCGAUGCUACUGCUUUGGGUAC
rnacentral:rRNA from 1 species